UAGGGAAUCUUCCACAAUGGACGCAAGUCUGAUGGAGCAACGCCGCGUGAGUGAAGAAGGCUUUCGGGUCGUAAAACUCUGUUAUUGAAGAAGAACGUGUGUGACAGUAACUGGUCAUGCAGUGACGGUAUUCAAUCAGAAAGUCACGGCUAACUACGUGCCAGCAGCCGCGGUAAUACGUAGGUGGCAAGCGUUGUCCGGAUUUAUUGGGCGUAAAGCGAGUGCAGGCGGUCUUUUAAGUCUGAUGUGAAAGCCUUCGGCUUAACCGAAGAAGGGCAUCGGAAACUGGGAGACUUGGGUGCAGAAGAGGAGAGUGGAACUCCAUGUGUAGCGGUGAAAUGCGUAGAUAUAUGGAAGAACACCAGUGGCGAAGGCGGCUCUCUGGUCUGUAACUGACGCUGAGGCUCGAAAGCGUGGGUAGCAAACAGGAUUAGAUACCCUGGUAGUCCAC
rnacentral:rRNA from 1 species